rnacentral:rRNA from 1 species
UACGUAGGGGGGCAAGCGUUGUUCGGAAUUACUGGGCGUAAAGGGCGCGUAGGCGGCACAGCAAGUCGGGAGUGAAAGCCCGGGGCUCAACCCCCGGAAUGUCUUUCGAAACUGCUGAGCUAGAGUGCGGAAGAGGCAACUGGAAUUCCCAGUGUAGCGGUGAAAUGCGUAGAUAUUGGGAAGAACACCUGAGGCGAAGGCGGGUUGCUGGGCCGACACUGACGCUGAGGCACGAAGGCCAGGGGAGCAAACCGGGAUUA